ensembl:lincRNA
GGAAAUUACAGCUGCCUCAGAUAACCAUGCUUUCAUUUUCCUUGAAGUAAGAACCAACCCAGAAAUCUUGUCUCUCCCUUGGAGCAAGGAAGCUAACGGGAACAGUUCUCUUUCACAAAUGGCAGAUAUGAUGAGAAGCAUGCCGACUUACAUCCUGCAGCUCAUUCUGAAUGGUCUGAUAAUUCCCUGUUUGUUUUCAGCAAUCAAAAUAUAGAAGAGGACAUUUCCUGACUUCCUGCCAAGGGAUUUGCUCUAAAUUGUGCCUUUUAAAUAAAAUAUCCCACACCGAAUCGUGUACA